UACGUAGGGCGCAAGCGUUGUCCGGAAUCAUUGGGCGUAAAGCGCGCGUAGGCGGUCACGCACGUCCGUUGUGAAAUCGCUCGGCUCAACUGGGCGGGGUCAGCGGAUACGGUGUGGCUGGAGCAAGCUAGGGGGCAAUGGAAUUCCCGGUGUAGUGGUGGAAUGCGUAGAUAUCGGGAGGAACACCAGUGGCGAAGGCGGUUGCCUGGAGCUUUGCUGACGCUGAUGCGCGAAAGCGUGGCGAGCGAUCCGG
rnacentral:rRNA from 1 species